UUUAGUGGUUUUAACAGUGCCUCAUAUUUUGUUCCCAAUUUCUAUUGGACCCAUAUAUGUUCCUGAGGCAGAUGCAAGACCUUCCAUCCUCAGUGGCGUCGUCAAAUCCAAAAUUAAAAAAAAAAACUGACACUGUCCCUAAGAGUAGAGGCUGCACUUCAAAGCAAAUCUAGGUUAGAUUCCGUCCAUUGUAUCCAAAGAUAGUUGCAAGUGAAAGCUUGGAUCACAAAGUUCGCUUGUGGAAUGCAAAUACUGCUGAGUGUGGAGGAUCAUGCGAUUCCUACCAUCCUAUUGUAUCUAUUUCUUUCCAUGCUCAAGGGGAUGUUCUUGCAGUAGCAUCAGGGCAUAAGACAUCCUCUCCAGAUGUUAUACUGAAGACACGACGUUGACUUCGAGAUGUACAUUUUCAUCCACAUGCAACUCCAUUUCUUCUGACCGCUGAUGUGAAAUUGUUAUCCCAUCAUAUUGAUUAUGUACGUGAGUUACUUUUCUUUUACUUGCAGGAGAGAAUUCCACUUGAAACUGCUUGAUUAUAUAAACUAGCUGGGAUAAUUACGUUAGCAGGUUUCUUUUUUUUUCAUUUUUGAUAUUUGAUAGUAACAGGGAAGGGGUAGUAUUGCAAUUGUUUUCCUGACAGUCAAGAAAAGGCAAUUUCCUACUCCAAUCCUGGUACCAUCUAAGCCACAUUGUUUAAGGAGAAGGGAUAUACUGAUAUAAGGAUUCAGGUCAAGUCGGGAGUUUUGGACACUGGCAUUCUCAGGAUCAACAACUUUUGACAAUGGAAGAAACCUCUGCGGUCACAGCCAUUGCCAUUGAUAGGGACAGGAAUAGCCAACUUGCUGUAAAAUAGGGGGUGGAUAAACCGUUGAACACUGCCUCCAAAUGCUUCCUCGAAGCUAGAGCUUACUUCCGUGUAGAGGAUUUUGAAGCCGCACCUAAGGAAGGUCGGCCACCAUUUGAAGCUGAGUUGAAGUUUAUUUUGAUUAUAUUACAUAUUUCCGCAACGUAGUGCGAGCAAGCAUUCUAGUAUAUAUAAAUUCCUACUCUUUAAACAGUAAAUACACAUGUACAUAUGACUUAAUGAAAUGUUACUAAACAACAAUUAGCUGAUACUUAUCAAAAUGAUUUCAACGAAGAUGUGAAUAGAAAAGUCCAAUGUUUGUCUUUGACUGAAGUGCCAUACGUUGCACAAAUUCAGACAUUAAAUUUUAUUAAUGUACGGAUAAAUAGCAUCUGU